UUCUUGAAAUUUAAAGAAUUUGGCGGUAUUUCAGUCUAUUCAGAGGAACCUGUUCCGUAAACGAUAGCCCACGAUAAUUUUUACUUUUCUUUUAAGUUUGUAUAUCGUCGUGUUAAGAAUAUUUUUUUAUUAAAUGUUUUCAGAUCAAGGUGUAGCUUAUGGAAAAGAGAGGAUGGGUUACAAUAAAAAUGUUAAAUUAACUGGAUUUGAAAGUAAGCUCUGAAGUACGCACAUAUUGCCCGUCGCUUUCAUUUUAAGUGAAAUAAGUCGUAACAAAGUAGGCUUAUUGGAAAAUGAGUCUGGAAAGCAAAUUAGAGCUUGUUAAGCAUUUUAUUUACACUAAAAAGUUAAUUGUGAAAUUCAAUUUAAUUUGAGGGUUAAUGAUUAUUAAUUAUAUUAGUUUUUUAGGGUAUUUAAAGUAAUAUUGGGUUUUAUUUUAAAAUGGAAAAAAUUUUAUUAUAGUUUAGUGGUAUUGUGAAAGAGUUUCUUUUUUGUUAAAAAGAAGGUUUUAAUUGCUGUACCUUGUGUGUCAGGGUAUUCUUAUAAAAGUUUCCCGAAUCUAAAAGAGCUAUUUUAUUGUUGAAUAAAUAUUUUUAAUAGUCAAAUAGAAAUGAAACGUUAUUCGUUUUUAGGUGUAUCUGGUUUUUGAAGAAAAAAAUUUAAUGAGGUAAUGUAUUAAUCAUUCUUAGGGGAUGAGCUCUUAUUUUAUAUAGUUUAAAGUAAAGUUAUUUUCUGGUUAAAUAGGAUUAGAAAUGUUCAUUUUUUAUAUUUUUUAAUAAUUAGAAUCUUUAAAUUGUUUAUUCAAACUUUUAGAAUAAUGUAUUUUCUGAAGUGAUAAUGGAAUAAUUAUUAAGUUUACUGAAAGGAACUCGGCAAAUAUUUUUUCCACCUGUUUAAUAAAAACAUGUCUUUUUGAUUAUAAUUUUAAGUCUGGCCUGCCCGCUGAUUGAAUGGCCGCAGUAUAUUGACUGUGCAAAGGUAGCAUAAUCAUUAGUUUCUUAAUUGGUAACUAGUAUGAAUGGUUGGAUGAGAAAAAUACUGUCUCUAAAAUUUUAUUUUUAAGUUAAAAAGCUUAAAUUUAUUAGAAAGACGAGAAGACCCUAUAGAGUUUUUUUGUUGGGGUGACAUAAAAAUUAGCUGAACUUUUUAUUUAUGUGAUUAGAUGAUCCUGGAUUAACAGAUUAAAUUACCUUAGGGAUAACAGCGUAAUUUUUCUUGAGAGUUCUGAUUG
rnacentral:rRNA from 1 species